GGGGCUGUAGCUCAACGGUAGAGCCACUGCCUUGGAUGUAGAAGAUGUCGGGUUCAAGUCCCACCAGCCCCC
rnacentral:tRNA from 1 species